UUAUAACUCCACAUUAGCAGUCCACGUCAGCAGUCCUAAACACAUCUUCUAACAGUUACAUUGCCCCAGAAUAUGCUCACACAUUGAUGCUAGGGAGGCAUCAGUGAAUUCUCCAUCAGAAUCCCCUCAGAUGAAGACACCUGCCUAAUAAGUUUAGAAAUGCAUUUUUCUUUUCCUUUGUUUUCUCAUUUGAAAACAUUAUGCACGAGGCCCAUGCUUCCAUUACUAAAAUGAUUGGUUAAGGUGACAAAAGUUCAAGGUUUUUGCAGAUUGAAUACAAGGUAAGGGAUUUAUUUAAUCCUACAGAGACUACUUGCAGUUUGAAGACCUUCUUCUGCAAUUCAUGUGUUGAUCCUGUGAGCUCAUUACUUGGAUAUAUAUAUAUAUAAUUCCUGACACAGUUUAUAUUCUCUCAUUUGCUUAUGCUAAUACUUUUAUCCUCCCUCAACUGGAUAUUGGAAUAUUAAUCCCUGUCAGAAAAUUAAGCCUCGCUGAAUUGGUAUAAUUAACUUAAAAUUACA